CAUGUACUUCCUCCGUCCGAAAAUACUUGUCGAAGAAAUGCAUAAAAAUGGAUGUAUCUAGAACUAAAAUACAUCUAGAUAUAUCCAUUCCUCCGACGAGUAUUUCCGGACGGAGGGAGUAUUAU
rnacentral:pre_miRNA from 1 species